CGGGGCCUACGGGGGGCAGCAGUGAGGAAUAUUGGUCAAUGGGCGCGAGCCUGAACUAGCCAAGUAGCGUGAAGGAUGACUGCCCUACGGGUUGUAAACUUCUUUUAUAAAGGAAUAAAGUGAGGCACGUGUGCCUUUUUGUAUGUAUUUUAUGAAUAAGGAUCGGCUAACUCCGUGCCAGCAGCCGCGGUAAUACGGGGGAUCCGAGCGUUAUCCGGAUUUAUUGGGUUUAAAGGGAGCGUAGAUGG
rnacentral:rRNA from 1 species